UACGAAGGGGGCUAGCGUUGUUCGGAAUUACUGGGCGUAAAGCGCACGUAGGCGGAUAUUUAAGUCAGGGGUGAAAUCCCAGGGCUCAACCCUGGAACUGCCUUUCAUACUGGCGAUCUUGAGUCCGGAAGAGGUGAGUGGAACUCCUAGUGUAGAGGUGGAAUUCGUAGAUAUUAGGAAGAACACCAGUGGCGAAGGCGGCUCACUGGUCCGGUACUGACGCUGAGGUGCGAAAGCGUGGGGAGCAAACAGG
rnacentral:rRNA from 1 species